rnacentral:rRNA from 1 species
CAAUAGCGUAUAUUAAAGUUGUUGCGGUUAAAAAGCUCGUAGUUGGAUUUCUGCUGAGAACGACCGGUCCGCCCUUUGGGUGUGUAUCUGGCUCUUUCUUGGCAUCUUCUUGGUGAACGUUGCUGCACUUGACUGUGUGGAGCGCUACCCAGGACUUUUACUUUGAGGAAAUUAGAGUGUUUCAAGCAGGCAUACGCCUUGAAUACAUUAGCAUGGAAUAAUAAGAUAGGACCUCGGUUCUAUUUUGUUGGUUUCUAGAGCUGAGGUAAUGAUUAAUAGGGAUAGUUGGGGGCAUUCGUAUUUAACUGUCAAAGGUGAAAUUCUUGGAUUUGUUAAAGACGGACUACUGCGAAAGCAUUUGCCAAGGAUGUUUUCAUUGA